CUUCUGAUGAGGAAGGUACAUCAGAAGGAAGAUCAUCUGCUCUCAGAUCACGUUUGACCACAGGCAGCGAGAGUGGUGAGAGUGGCCUGGAGAGGGGUGGCAGGCUAAGGAGAGUAUCAUGCAGGGCUACAUCUCAGCUUCACUCUAAUGGCAACAGGGAACCAUGGAAAGCUGAAAUCAGGGAGAAGGAACAGAACCACUUGUCAUUGCAGCAGGCCAAUUAUUCCCUUAACGUGAGAAUAAUGUGAGAUUGGGCAGAGGCCCCUGACAUUCCUUUAAAACCUUUUGCUGUGCUGGCACUGGUGCCACCACCAGGUGGGGAGUUGAGUAUGUUGCUGACAGCCUUUAUCCAAUGCCACUGAUCCCUCCAGCCUCCUUCCUUUUGAAGGCUUUGUUCAUUAGCCAUUUCUUUAGUGCCAUGCCAUGCCACGUCCCAGGCCACGUGGAAAUAUGUGUUCCCUUCAGGAUGAUUCACCGCCAUUGAAAAUAACACCAAGCACAAGUGCCGUUAAGUGCAGGUGUGUGUAUUGCACAACUGCUCCUCUGAUCUGAGAUGCUGAAGAUAAGCUGGAAGACCAUCAUGGAUGAAGCAAAACCAUAGAGCCAAUCAACACUCUUUAGGAUUUACACAUCAGAGACAUUUUCAAUACCAGCAAUUAAAAUAUUGUACCUGUAAGAGUGGUUUUGAUUGGGUAUGUUCCAUACUAAGCAUUUUACAUGGAUGAUACAGUUUUACUCUCAAACAACCCUAUAAGGAGGUACUACUAGCAUCUUCAUUUUUAAGGUGAGUUAAUUGCAUUUAGACAGAUAAUUUGCCCCAAGUCCACAACCUAGUAAAAACCAGAUCUGAGGUCUGUCUGAUGUCAAAAUCUGAUCUUAUAACCUUUAUGCUAUUUUAAAGAAUCCUAGGCUGACUUCAAGUACAUCUUAAGGUAUUUUUGUUCUUUAUUGUUGAAGUCUCUCUGGCCUUAUACUUUCAUGUUUCAAGUUCAACUCAGCAAAAUUUGCUGUUUCUUCCAUGUGUAAAAUGACAUGUUGGGAUGGCCCUCUGUAGAAUGUAAGAACAAGUUAGAUGUAACUCCUGCUGUCAAAUAAUUUAUAAUCUUCGGAAGGAAAAGGGAAGUACGCAAACAACUAAAACACACGAAAUAAUAUGCCGGCUGCUUUAAGAAGGGCACACAUAACCUAGGAACUCAAAGACAAACACUACUGGCAUAAAAAUAUGUUUAUUUAAACUAAAUUCUAAACAAUGUCUUCGUAUCUGAAAGAUGGUAUUUUCUACAUGUGAAUUUCCAAGAUAUCACUUAUGCCUGAAUGUUUUGAAAGAAAACAGAUCCAGAGAAAAGAAAAAUAUCUGGAUGCUAGAAAAGGAAACCUAACCAGUAGUGAAGACAUAAUGUUCACCACACUGCUAACUGUUUAGAACUGGAAAAGCACAUUUGAAAGAAACCUUCAUUUCACAGAUGAGGAAACUAAGACUCACUAGCUAGAGGCAGAUAUUACUACAUUCUAUUUUCCAUCCUCUUAGGUUUCUUUUCUUUCUUUUUUUUUCUCCCCAUCUUCAUUUGUGCUGUAGAUUCGGAAAGAAUUGUCUGGAGAAAAUUAAGUAUCUGGAGGCCACUCUACUCCUCUGUAAUGGGUUCUACCCUCAUCUGUAAUAAGUAUUAAUUGAAUGGAUGGUUUCAAUUGGAAUUUAAUAAGUCUUCCUUCUUAAUUUAGAUUAUAUCUGACAAACCAAUCUUUUCCUGGAUUAGAUUUGAAAUUAUUCCUAAUACAGUUAAAUUAUAUUGAGUGAGAUCAGUUUCAUCUUCCCUGAUAGGAUAAGGAGACACAACACAUCUGAAAUUCACAGGCAGAGCCUCAGCAAGUAUUCUUCUCCCUCUCCUUGGGAAAUUUCCAGAAACCUGCAAAGUUCUUUGAUUUGGGUGGGUAACAGAAGUGGUAGAAUAAUGAGGGAGCUUUCCUGUCUGCCAUGAAGACUAGGAAGAUGGUGAAUGUAGUAAGUGUGGUUGGGGCUUGAAGAAUUACCAGUACUUGUUUCUCAUCAGAAGGUUCUCUGUAGUGUGUUUUAGGCAAUAGCCCUCCCUUAGAAGGCUGGUUCCUCCAGUGCUGAAGUAUAUGUGGACCAAGUGGGAAGAUACUUAUUGAGGAAACAGUGGCAUGCUGGGAAAGUCUUUUUCUGUGGAUCAGACCAUUUACAGUAGCAAUUCCAAGUCUGCCACUUGUUAGUUGCAUGACCUCAAGCAGGCUACUCAAUUUCUGUAAAUUUAACAUUCUUUACUUAUAAAAUCAGGAGACUGAUGCUCUAUAAGAUUGCACCAAGGGUUUGAAAUAAAUAUAUAAAACAUCUAGAAAGAGACUGACAUGGGAGCCUAGGAGCUAUUUUGUCUUUGACUGUAUUCUUCAUGCCUGGUAUAUGAUAAGGCGUUUGUUGAAUGAAUAUACUAGGUGGUCAAUUACUGGUGGACAUGUAAUUGGUACUAGGUGAUUAUUUGUUCAUUAAGAACCAACAGGGACGCCUGGGUGGCUCAGCGGUUGA